CUGGAGCUCAGAGGCCCGAUCACAGCUCACUGAAGCCUCAACCUCCCUGGCUCAAGUGUUUCUCUCACCUCAGCCCUCCUAAGUAACUGAGACUACAGUUACUUGGAGGUGAAAGUUGUAAGACAAAGAGUAUGUGGGAAGAAUGAAAAUAACAGUUCUAUUGAAACAAGGAAUGAAAACUCUGCCCCUAAGCUGACAUGGUUUAUGACUGACGAUGUCACCAAAUUGUGGAGAAGCACUCAUUAACAUAACUGAACAAUAGUUUUGAAAGCUCUUGUACAAGAUACAAGUAGCCAUAAGACUUACUGGCCUGGUGUGUGGAGACUUCAGAGGAGGUAGGGCAACUCUUCUAGGUGCCAUGAGCAAGCCCCAUUAAACUAAAGAAAUCAAAUCACCUCAUUCUUAAAGUCUUGAGAAGAUGAGAUAAACUUAAAAGCUUUCAACUGUGAAAGAACAGAAACAAAGCUCGCUGGAGAGAUGGGAUCUGAAUAGUCAAAUCAUUUUGAAUAGGCACUAUGUACUUGGGAACUUCUGCAUGAGCAAGUGAUUCUUGGAUAUUCCUGUAAAUCCAUUCUGAAUAUGACAAUGAAACUAAAGCCCCCAAAAGCCAAAAGAAACUGCCCAAGGUGACAUAGCUGCUGAGUGAUGGAAUGGGGACUAGAUCAAACUCUAAAAUCAAAGAGCAUGCUCACAAUUACCCAUUAAGAGAACUAAAGGAAACAAAAUUCUCCAAUCUAUUCUCCCUGUGCACAUUAAAAUUAAAACAAUGGUGUUGCAUUUUUCAAACAGUUAUGUACUGAUAUUAUACCAAGAUGCAAGCACGGGUGGAUUCCUUAAUUGUAAUAGGUAUAAGUAAUAUAAUGCUAAAAUGCAAAUUUUGAAUCCCAUUCUGUCUUCCAACUAUUAUCUCUGCCAAAUUCUUUCACAAUUCUACAUUAAUACAUAUUACACAUUUUGGAAAAUUUAAUAUAUAAGGCUACUGUUUGUAUUAUAUUUGAAAUUAGUUAUGUUAGCCAUUAAUAUUUACACUGUUUCACGAUCCUAAAAAUAUCACUAUCUUGUCUUACUAAAAAAAAUUGAAAAUGGAGUCAUUAAAAAAAAGUGAAAAAAAAACCUCUCAAAGAGUAAAAAAUCUAAAAGCUAUGCCUUUAGGAGGAGGUGAAAAUUAACUAGUGUCAUCUCAAGUAUGAACACACAUGGCUUCUUCACACUUAAUUAGAAAACUAGAAGCACUUAAGCCAAAGCAUUCAAAAGAACAAUGUGUCAGAGUCAGAAUUAGUUAUAAUCGGUUAGCUUGUGCUAUUAACAUUGCCUAGCUUCUUUUCUGAGUCUACACAGUAGAUGUCUGUUUUUCUCUUUUUUUUUCCCCAACAUCUAAUUUAUCAAAAACUCAGCCCCAAUAAAAGACAUGGUUGUGUUACAGUGUUAUAUGAAAGAAAAAUACUUUGUUGGAGUUAGGGUUCCCCUAGUGACUAGUUAGUGAGCUUGAACAAGUGAAGUAAAUUCCAUAUGACUCAGUGAACCUCAUAUCUAUAGUAUGAAAAAAAAAAACCAUGGUACUUCUUUGUGUUCUUUUGUCACAGAUUAAUAUUUUAUUUUCUUACACAUAAAAUAAGUUUAGGAAAUAUUCAUUUAACCUGAAAUAUUAAUUUAAAAAAUGCAUUUGGUAUUACAGUUAUCCAUGUACUAAUUUGCCUGAACCUAGAGAAAAGUGUAAAAAGUGUUUACAAUUUUGAAAGUCCUAGUGGAAAGAUUUUGUUUUUACUUAGUUUUAUUUUAUUUUACUUUUUUUGUAAUUUUAUUUUUUUCACACCACAUAAAUACAAUGACACAGGAUACCAUUUUUACAGCUGUGCAUUGUAUACUCUUAAAUUAUAAACUUUUAAAUACAUUUUAAAUGAUAGAAAAGUAUAU
rnacentral:lncRNA from 10 species